UGCGGUCCAUUAGUUAGUUGGCGGGGUAAAGGCCCACCAAGGCGAUGAUGGAUAGCCGGCCUGAGAGGGUGUACGGUCACACUGGGACUGAGACACGGCCCAGACUCCUACGGGAGGCAGCAGCUAAGAAUCUUCCGCAAUGGACGAAAGUCUGACGGUGCGACGCCGCGUGUGGGAUGAAGGUCGUGAGAUUGUAAACCACUGUCAGCGGGGAAGAAAGCCCGUAUGGUGAAUACGGGAUUGACGGUACCCGCCGAGGAAGCCCCGGCUAACUACGUGCCAGCAGCCGCGGUAAUACGUAGGGGGCGAGCGUUGUUCGGAUUUACUGGGCGUAAAGCGUGCGUAGGCGGUUUGGCAAGUUUGGCGUGAAAUCUACACCGCUUAACGGGUAGAGGUCGCCGAAAACUGCCAGGCUAGAGAACGGAAGAGGGCAGUGGAAUUCCAGGUGUAGCGGUGGAAUGCGCAGAUAUCUGGAAGAACACCGGUGGCGAAGGCGGCUGCCUGGUCCGUUUCUGACGCUGAGGCACGAAAGCCAGGGGAGCAAACGGGCUUAGAUACCCCGGUAGUCCUGGCUGUAAACGGUGAGCACUAGGUGUGGGGGGUAUCGACCCCUCCCGUGCCGCAGCUAACGCAUUAAGUGCUCC
rnacentral:rRNA from 1 species